GGCUCAGUAGCUUGGAGGAAAGAAGCGCCCGUCUAGCGAAUUAGAAGUCGUGGGUUCGAUUCCCACCAGAGCUU
rnacentral:tRNA from 1 species